GCCGGUGUAGCUCAGUGGUAGAGCAGCGCCCUCGUAAUGCGCAGGCCGUCGGUUCGAGUCCGACCACCGGCU
rnacentral:tRNA from 2 species